rnacentral:rRNA from 1 species
GACAGAGGUUGCAAACGUUGUUCGGAAUCACUGGGCAUAAAGCGCACGUAGGCGGUCUGUUAAGUCAGGUGUGAAAGCCCCCGGCUCAACCGGGGAAUUGCAUUUGAUACUGGCAGGCUCGAGAACGGUAGGGGUGAGUGGAACUCCAGGUGGAGCGGUGAAAUGCGUAGAUAUCUGGAGGAACAACGGUGGCGAAGGCGGCAUCCUGGACCAACACUGGCGCUGAGUGAGCGAAAGCCAGGGGAGCAAACGGG